rnacentral:rRNA from 1 species
UACGUAGGGGGCUAGCGUUGUCCGGAAUCAUUGGGCGUAAAGCGCGCGUAGGCGGUCAGGUAAGUCCGGUGUGAAAGUCAAAGGCUCAACCUUUGAAUGCCGCUGGAAACUGCCUGACUUGAGUCCGGUAGGGGCGAGUGGAAUUCCUGGUGUAGCGGUGAAAUGCGCAGAUAUCAGGAAGAACACCCGUGGCUAAGGCGGCUCUCUAGUACGGUACUGACGCUGAGACGCGAAAGCGUGGGGAGCGAACAGG